ACAUUCCAGCCCCCCCAGCACCAGCUCCCACACUCCAGCACUCCCAGCACCAGCUCCCACACUCCAGCCCCCCCAGCACCAGCUCCCAAACGCCAGCCCUCUCACCACAGUGUGCCUGUUCCCCUCCCAAGGGCAGUGGGAGGGGCCUCCAGGCCUCGCCUUCCUUUGCUGUGCCCAUGCUCAGGGAUGGCGACUUCAUGAGAGGUCACAGAGGCUCCACAAGUCCCCAGGCCUUCGGCUGCCUGGACCUGGCCUGCGUGGCAGUGCAACCUCGCUGGUAGAGUCAGGAGGCUGGGACUCCACUAGGAUGUUACACAGCCACCAUGGCUUAGGUGUCGGAGAGAGGAGAAGCCCGGGAAGAAAAGAACUGUUUCCUUAGGCCCUGCGAGUUAACUGGAAAACCGGUGCGGAGGCCGGACAGAGGGGCUUCUCAGCUGAGAGCAUGAGGAAGCAGUGGGGAGCACCUGCCUGUUCUGGAGAACUGAGAAAAGCCACCAGAGUGCUGUGUGUGCUAGCAUGCACACAGGCCAGUGUGUGGUGGCCUUGAGUGGUGAGCGAGCAGGAGGCAGGCCCAGGAUACCCCACAAAGGAAUUCCCCACUCACCUACUGUUCUGAAUUGUAGCUGUGUUUGCCUUACGUUAGAAGAACACCUCACAUGCAAACCUGAGUGGGGCUGGCACUCCUGGGUGGGUCUGGCACUCCUGGGUGGGUCUGGCACUCCUGAGUGGGGCAGGCACUCCUGGGUGGGCAGGCACUUCUGAGUGGGGCUGGCACUCCUGGGUGGGUCUGGCACUCCUGAGUGGGGCUGGCAUACCUGGGUGGGGCUGGCACUCCUGGGUGGGGAGGCACUCCUGAGUGGGG
rnacentral:lncRNA from 13 species